AUGACACGCAGGGAGGAGGCCCGGGUGGCCCGGCCGGCUCGCUGGGGACCUCGGCCGGGUCUCCUAGGCCCGGAGAGGGUCGUUGGGAGAGCGGCUCAAAGCAACAACCUCCCGCCCCGUUUCCAAAGCUCCGGAGCUGGAGAAGUCAAAUACCAGCUUUCCCGGACUCCCUCGCAGCAGAGGAUGGCCCUGUGAUCAGCCCUGGCCCCUGAGCAGUGAGGACUGCAGGAGGCUUCUGGGAAGAUCUCUCUUUCCUGGAUAAGAGACGGGCUCCCACUUGGUCCUCUCUCUGCUUCCUGCCUUUGAAAAUCCUCUGUUGUCUGCAGCUGGGCCACUAAGAAGACACACCUGAGAACAAGAAGUGCCGCAUGGAUGAUCGCAGAGCAGAGAAUAGGAGGCGGCCUCCUUGAUGACAACGUGGAACAGUCAAGCCUGUGCCAGCAGCCACCGCUUCCGUGCUUUUUUCCAUGUGGAGAAAAUAAAUUGCAAUUGGUUUAAGUCA